CCAAUAGCGUAUAUUAAAGUUGUUGCAGUUAAAAAGCUCGUAGUUGAAUUUCGGGAUCAGUACGCUGGUCGUGCCUUCGGUAUGUACUGGUGUUACUGGUUCCUACCUUCUGACGAACCGUCAUGUCAUUAAUUUGGUGUGGCGGGGAAUCAGGACUGUUACUUUGAAAAAAUUAGAGUGUUUAAAGCAGGCUCGCGCUUGAAUACAUUAGCAUGGAAUAAUGAAAUAGGACGUUCGAUCCUAUUUUGUUGGUUUCUAGGAUUGACGUAAUGAUUAAUAGGGAUAGUUGGGGGCAUUAGUAUUCAAUUGUCAGAGGUGAAAUUCUUGGAUUUAUUGAAGACUAACUACUGCGAAAGCAUUUGCCAAGGAUGUGUUCAUUAAUCAAGAACGAAAGUUAGGGGAUCGAAGACGAUCAGAUACCGUCGUAGUCUUAACCAUAAACUAUGCCGACUAGGGAUCGGAUGAUGUUAAUUUUUUAAUGACUCAUUCGGCGCCUUACG
rnacentral:rRNA from 1 species